AUUGCUUUCAGUUUUGUGGAUAUAUAGCUAAUGUUCGUUGUUGCUAUCGUUCUAUAUUUGCCAAUUUAGGCAAAAAUAAAAUCUUAGUGUUUGAGAUUAUUGUGUAGUAGAAUAUAAUUGUAUAACCUAAUCUAUGGCGGUUGUCAAAUUAGACUUUAUUGUGACUCAUGAUGGGGAAAAAUUACCAUGUUAGGCUAUGCAAGAUUUGUCAUCAUCAUUCAGAUAAAAGCUAGCUGGGAGAUUGGUUUUUUUCUCUUUGAAGCAUACUAGCUGGGAGAUGAUGCAUAUUACAAGGUACCCGGAAAGCUCCACGGUUUUGGAUUGCUGCUUAGUGCUGGUGGAGCAACUUCUAAGUUGAAUGAUUGCUCCGUGAUUGAGUUUGACUGGCAGAGAUUAUGAUGGGCAUCGAUGGAGGAUUGGUGAUUAAUGGAGAUGAACAAUGAACGCAUACAAUGGGUUUGGAACUGAGGACUCAAUCUUGGCAGUGAGGAUGGUGAUGAUGAGCAUAUGGAGUUGGUGCUAUGGUGUUGAGCUGUUAAUAUUGGACUGUUAAGGAUGGAUGACUGGUGAUGAGAAGAUAUGGAAGAGAAUCAGUAAAUAUUUUGAUGAUCGUGGUCAGUGGUAAUGGUUUCUGUUCUCGGGGAUUGAAAGGAGUAUGUUGCCAGCAAAGAGAAAACAUGGAAGAAUGUUGAGGUGUUGCAGUCAAGCUAUGGUGAUGAUGGAGAAGCUACUGUCGGAGAUCGGUGAUGGUUGUAAGAGGAGAUAGAACAAAGUUGUUUUGUGUUAAUGAUUAUUGAAGAUGGAGGGUUGAGUUCGUGGCGUCGUUGCUGUUGUGAUUGGUGGAAAACGAGAAUGAUAUAUGUUGCCAUUAAUGUAUCGGUGAUGCAGCAGAGCAAUUGCUGCCAUUUGUUGAUCAUCUCACUGGUGGGCAACUCGAGUAGGAAAUCAGAUUGGUGAUGGAGAUCCCUGCGAAGGAAUUGUGCUCAGAUCAAGUAUCUUGAAUCUUUAUAAACACAGUGUCUACAAUCACAUUGAAUAAAUCUAAGAUAUUUUUUUAAACUCUUAAA